rnacentral:siRNA from 1 species
AAUCUGUGUCAAAGUGCUUA